rnacentral:lncRNA from 1 species
CUAAGAUUCCAGCCUGCCGGAACCCUUUCCAGGUUCCUUUCACAAGAACACUGUCCCCUCCAAACGCAGUGACUUUUAUCCCCCGCCCCUUCUCCCGCCUGCCUCACCAGGGCGCACACGCUCCUUGGCCCCGGUCGGCUGGCUGUGAUUGGCGCCGGCGGCCCCAGCAGAUGACGGAGGAGACAAAGUGAUGGCUGCAGGUCGUCUGAGGUCCCACCCCGGCCACGUGCGGCUUCUGUGAUGACAGGUCUGUGUGUAGGUCUGUGCAUGUGAACCUAGGUGCCUGCGGAGUCUAGAAGAGAAUGGCAGAUCCCCUAGAGCUGGAGCUGGAGCUGGAGUUGGAGUUGGAGUUGGAGUUGGAGUUGGAGCUGGAGCUGAAGCUGGAACUGUGAGCAUGUGUGGUGUAAACCAAA